UCAGAGUGCCUAGCUUUACACAGAACAUACUUAUAUACAAUAAAUAUUAUAUUCAUUAUUCAUUUAUUGUAUAUAUAAGUAUGUUCUGUGUAAAGCUAGGCACUCUGA
rnacentral:miRNA from 1 species